AUAAAUAAGCGGAGGAAAAGAAACCAACAGGGAUUCCCUUAGUAACUGCGAGCGAAAAGGGAUGAGCCCAGCGCUGAAUCCCGACGCCUUUCACGGUGUCGGGAAAUGUAGCGUAUAGGAGCGAGCGUGACGGAGGUGGGCCUUCCGGUAAGUCCCUCUGACCGGGGCUACUUUCCCACAGUGGGUGCAAGGCCCAUAACCGGUUGGCCUCCUUCGGAUGCGAGUUCCUCAGAGUCGGGUUGCUUGGGAGUGCAGCCUAAAUCAGGUGGUAAACUCCAUCUAAGGCUAAAUACGACCGUGAGACCGAUAGCGAACAA
rnacentral:rRNA from 1 species